rnacentral:rRNA from 1 species
CCUACGGGUGGCAGCAGUGAGGAAUAUUGGUCAAUGGGCUUACGCCUGAACCAGCCAAGUCGCGUGAGGGAAGACUGCCCUAUGGGUUGUAAACCUCUUUUGUCAGGGAGCAACGCCGGCUACGUGUAGCCGGACUGAGAGUACCUGAAGAAAAAGCAUCGGCUAACUCCGUGUCAGCAGCCGCGGUAAUACGGAGUAUGCGAGCGUUAUCCGGAUUUAUUGGGUUUAAAGGGUGCGUAGGCGGAAUGCCAAGUCAGCGGUAAAAUCGCGGGGCUCAACCUCGCUCCGCCGUUGAAACUGGCGUUCUUGAGUGGGCGAGAAGUAUGCGGAAUGCGUGGUGUAGCGGUGAAAUGCAUAGAUAUCACGCAGAACUCCGAUUGUGAAGGCAGCUUACCAAACUAUAUCUGACGUUGAGGCACGAAAGCGUGGGUAGCAAACAGGAUUAGAUACCCGGGUAGUC